GACGAACGCUGGCGGCGUGCUUAACACAUGCCAGUCGAACGGAAAGGCCCUGCUUUUGUGGGGUGCUAGAGUGGCGAACGGGUGAGUAACACGUGAGUAACCUGCCCUUGACUUUGGGAUAACUUCAGGAAACUGGGGCGAAUACCGGAUAGGAGCUCCUGCUGCAUGGUGGGGGUUGGAAAGUUUCGGCGGUUGGGGAUGGACUCGCGGCUUAUCAGCUUGUUGGUGAGGUAGUGGCUUACCAAGGCUUUGACGGGUAGCCGGCCUGAGAGGGUGACCGGCCACAUUGGGACUGAGAUACGGACCAGACUCCUACGGGAGGCAGCAGUGGGGAAUAUUGCACAAUGGGCGGAAGCCUGAUGCAGCAAUGCCGCGUGCGGGAUGACGGCCUUCGGGUUGUAAACCGCUUUCGCAUGUGACGAAGCGUGAGUGACGGUAAUGGGUAAAGAAGCACCGGCUAACUACGUG
rnacentral:rRNA from 1 species